GCAGCAGUGGGGAAUAUUGCACAAUGGGCGCAAGCCUGAUGCAGCCAUGCCGCGUGUGUGAAGAAGGCCUUCGGGUUGUAAAGCACUUUCAGUCGUGAGGAAGGUAGUUGCGUUAAUAGCGUAAUUAUUUGACGUUAGCGACAGAAGAAGCACCGGCUAACUCCGUGCCAGCAGCCGCGGUAAUACGGAGGGUGCGAGCGUUAAUCGGAAUUACUGGGCGUAAAGCGCAUGCAGGUGGUUUGUUAAGUCAGAUGUGAAAGCCCGGGGCUCAACCUCGGAAUUGCAUUUGAAACUGGCAGACUAGAGUACUGUAGAGGGGGGUAGAAUUUCAGGUGUAGCGGUGAAAUGCGUAGAGAUCUGAAGGAAUACCGGUGGCGAAGGCGGCCCCCUGGACAGAUACUGACACUCAGAUGCGAAAGCGUGGGGAGCAAACAGGAUUAGAUACCCUGGUAGUCCACGCCGUAAACGAUGUCUACUUGGAGGUUGUGGCCUUGAGCCGUGGCUUUCGGAGCUAACGCGUUAAGUAGACCGCCUGGGGAGUACGGUCGCAAGAUUAAAACUCAAAG
rnacentral:rRNA from 1 species